rnacentral:rRNA from 1 species
GAUGAACGCUGGCGGCGUGCCUAAUACAUGCAAGUCGAGCGAACAGAUGAGGAGCUUGCUCCUCUGACGUUAGCGGCGGACGGGUGAGUAACACGUGGAUAACCUAACUAUAAGACUGGGAUAACUUCGGGAAACCGGAGCUACUACCGGAUAAUAUAUUGAAUCGCAUGGUUCAAUAGUGAAAGACGGUUUUGCUAUCACUUAUAGAUGGGCCAGCGGCGCAUUAGUUAGUUGGUAGGGUAAAGGCUUAGCAAGGCGACGAUCCAUAGCCGGCCUGAGAGGAUGAUGAGCCACAGUGGGACUGAGACACGGCCCAGACUCCUACGGGAGGCAGCAGUGGGGAAUAUUGGACAAUGGGGGAAAGCCUGAUCCAGUAAUGCCGCGUGAGUGAUGAAGGCCUGAGGGUUGUAAAGCUCUUUUACCAGGGAUGAUAAUGACAGUACCGGGAGAAUAAGCUCGGGCUAACUCCGUG